rnacentral:piRNA from 1 species
CAGUGUCUGAAAGGUACCCGAGCUUC